rnacentral:rRNA from 1 species
AGUCGAGCGCAAUACUAUCUUCGGAUAGUGGAGAGCGGCGGACGGGUGAGUAACGCGUGGGAACCUACCCUUUGGUUCGGAAUAACUUUGGGAAACCGAAGCUAAUACCGGAUACGCCCCGUAAGGGGGAAAGAUUUAUUGCCGAAGGAGGGGCCCGCGUUGGAUUAGGUAGUUGGUAGGGUAAUGGCCUACCAAGCCGACGAUCCAUAGCUGUUCUGAGAGGAAGAUCAGCCACACUGGGACUGAGACACGGCCCAGACUCCUACGGGAGGCAGCAGUGGGGAAUCUUGCGCAAUGGGCGAAAGCCUGACGCAGCAACGCCGCGUGGGGGAUGAAGGCUCUCGGGUUGUAAACCCCUUUCAGCAGGGAAGAUUAUGACGGUACCUGCAGAAGAAGCCCCGGCCAACUACGUGCCAGCAGCCGCGGUAAUACGUAGGGGGCAAGCGUUGUCCGGAUUUAUUGGGCGUAGAGAGCUUGUAGGCGGCUUGGUAAGUCGAGUGUGAAAACUCCAGGCUCAACCUGGAGACGCCAUUCGAUACUGCCAUGGCUAGAGUCCGGUAGAGGAGCACGGAAUUCCUGGUGUAGCGGUGAAAUGCGCAGAUAUCAGGAGGAACACCAGCAGCGAAGGCGGUGCUCUGGGCCGGUACUGACGCUGAGAAGCGAAAGCGUGGGGAGCGAACAGGAUUAGAUACCCUGGUAGUCCACGCCGUAAACGUUGGGCACUAGGUGUGGGUCCCUAUCGACGGGAUCUGUGCCGUAGCUAACGCAUUAAGUGCCCCGCCU